rnacentral:tRNA from 1 species
GGAUUGUGGCUCAGAGGUAGAGUGCUCGCCGAGCAUGCGAGAGGCACUGUGUUCGAUCCUCAGCACCA